GAUGAAGAACGCAGCGAAAUGCGAUAAGUAGUGUGAAUUGCAGAAUUCAGUGAAUCAUCGAAUCUUUGAACGCACAUUGCGCCCGCCAGUAUUCUGGCGGGCAUGCCUGUCUGAGCGUCAUUUCAACCCUCAAGCAACUUCUGCUUGGUGUUGGGGAUCGGCCGUCAAACGCCGCCCCCGAAAUCUAUUGGCGAUCUCGCUGUAGCUUCCUAUGCGUAGUAGUAACAUCUCGCAUCUGGAGAGCGGCGCGGUCAUGCCGUAAAACACCCAACUUCUCAGGUUGACCUCAGAUCAGGUAGGAAUACCCGCUGAACUUAAGCAUAUCAAUAAGCGGAGGA
rnacentral:misc_RNA from 1 species